rnacentral:rRNA from 1 species
AGCAGCCGCGGUAAUUCCAGCUCCAAUAGCGUAUAUUAAAGUUGUUGCAGUUAAAAAGCUCGUAGUUGAAUUUCGGGAUCUGUCCGUUGGUCGAGCCUCACGGUCCGCACUGAUGCGAUGGAUUCCUACCUUCUGAAUAACCGGUAUGCCAUUAAUUUGAUGUGCCGGGGAAGCAGAACCAUUACCUUGAAAAAAUUAGAGUGCUCAAAGCAGGCUUGUGCCUGAAUACAUUAGCAUGGAAUAAUAAAAUAGGACGGCAUGGUUCUAUUUUGUUGGUUUCUAGGAUCACCGUAAUGAUUAAUAGGGAUAGUUGGGGGCAUUAGUAUUCAAUUGUCAGAGGUGAAAUUCUUGGAUUUAUUGAAGACUAACUUCUGCGAAAGCAUUUGCCAAGGAUGUUUUCAUUAAUCAAGAACGAAAGUUAGGGGAUCGAAGACGAUCAGAUACCGUCGUAGUCUUAACCAUAAACUAUGCCGACUAGGGAUCGGACGAUGUUAAUUUUAUAAUGACUCGUUCGGCGCCUUACG